rnacentral:sRNA from 1 species
UAGAGUGAGGGGGUGACUAGUGACAGAGUGAGGGAAGGGGUGACUAGUGGCAGAGUGAGGAAAGGAAGGGGUGACUAAUGACAGAGUGAGGGAGGUGGUGACUGUCAGUAGUCACCACCUCCCUCACUCUGUCACUAGUCACCACCUCCCUCACUCUAUCACUACUCCCUCCCUCUUUCUGUCACUAGUCACCCCCUCCGUCUCUUACUCUGUCACUAGUCACCCCCUAACUCACUAUGUCACCAGUCAUCCACUCACUCUGUCACCAGUCAUCCCUUCCUUCCCUCACUCUGCCACUAGUCACCCCUUCCCUCACUC